CUUUUUUUGAUUUGUGUAUAGAGUAUAACCUGCCCAAUGAGGAAGUUGAAUGGCCGCGGUAAAUUGACCGUGCAAAGGUAGCAUAAUCAUUAGUUUUUUAAUUGGGAGCUAGAAUGAAUGGUUGGACGAGAUAAUAACUGUCUUGGUAUUAAUAGAGUAAAAUUUAAUUUUUGGGUUAAAAAGCUUAAAUAAUUUUUUGGGACGAGAAGACCCUAUAGAAUUUGGAUAUCUAAUAUUUCUUGCUGUUUGUUGUGUUUAUAGUUAAUUUUUUAUUUUGUUGGGGUGAUGGAGAGAUAAAAUGAACUCUUUUUAUAUGUAUAUAUUGAUUUAUAGGUUUAUGUGAUCUAUUAGUGGUGAUUGGAAGAUUGAAUUACCUUAGGGAUAACAGCGUAAUUUUUUUUAAGAGUUCUUAUUGAUAAAAGGGUUUGCGACCUCGAUGUUGGAUUAAGAAUAUGUACAUAUUGGUGUAGAGGCUUUGUAUUUAGGUCUGUUCGACCUUUAAAAUCUUACA
rnacentral:rRNA from 1 species